CCUACGGGGGGCUGCAGUGAGGAAUAUUGGUCAAUGGGCUUACGCCUGAACCAGCCAAGUCGCGUGAGGGAAGACUGCCCUAUGGGUUGUAAACCUCUUUUGUCAGGGCGCAAUUGGCGCUACGUGUAGCGUUAUCGAGAGUCCCUGAAGAAAAAGCAUCGGCUAACUCCGUGCCAGCAGCCGCGGUAAUACGGAGGAUGCGAGGUUUAUCCGGUUUUUGUGGGUUUAUAGGGUGCGUAGGCGGACUGUUAGGUCAGCGUUAAAAGCCCGGGGCUAAACGUCGGCGAGCCGUGGAAACUGGCGGUCGUGAGAGGGCGAGAGGUAUGCGGAAUGCGCGGUGUAGCGGUGAAAUGCUUAGAUAUUGCGCAGAACUCCGAGUGCGAAGGCAGCAUACCGUCGGCGUUCUGACGCUGAGGCACGAAAGCGGGGGUAUCGAACAGGAUUAGAUACCCGAGUAGUC
rnacentral:rRNA from 1 species